AGUGGCGGACGGGUGAGUAACACGUAAGAAUUCGCCUUUAGGAGGGGGACAACAACUGGAAACGGUUGCUAAUACCCCAUAUGCUUUCGAGUGAAACGGAUUUUUCCGCCUAAAGAGAAGCUUGCGGCUGAUUAGCUUGCUGGUGAGGUAAUGGCUCACCAAGGCGACGAUCAGUAUCUGGUUUGAGAGGACGAUCAGACACACUGGAACUGAGACACGGUCCAGACUCCUACGGGAGGCAGCAGUGGGGAAUUUUCCGCAAUGGGCGAAAGCCUGACGGAGCAAUACCGCGUGAGGGAUGACGGCCUAUGGGUUGUAAACCUCUUUUUUCAGGGAGGAAUCAAAUGACGUGUACCUGAAGAAUAAGCAUCGGCUAACUCCGUGCCAGCAGCCGCGGUAAGACGGGGGAUGCAAGUGUUAUCCGGAAUCACUGGGCGUAAAGCGUCUGUAGGUGGUCAAAUAAGUCAACUGUUAAAUCUUGAGGCUCAACCUCAAAAUCGCAGUCGAAACUAUUAGACUAGAGUAUAGUAGGGGUAAAGGGAAUUUCCAGUGGAGCGGUGAAAUGCGUAGAGAUUGGAAAGAACACCGAUGGCGAAGGCACUUUACUGGGCUAUUACUAACACUCAGAGACGAAAGCUAGGGUAGCAAAUGGGAUUAGAUACCCCAGUAGUCCUAGCCGUAAACAAUGGAUACUAGAUGU
rnacentral:rRNA from 1 species